rnacentral:rRNA from 1 species
ACGGAAGGCAGCAGUGAGGAAUAUUGGUCAAUGGGCGAGAGCUUGAACCAGCCAAGUCGCGUGCGGGACGAAGGCCCUACGGGUCGUAAACCGCUUUUAUACGGGAAUAAAGUGCGCCACGCGUGGCGUUUUGCAGGUACCGUAGGAAUAAGGAUCGGCUAACUCCGUGCCAGCAGCCGCGGUAAUACGGAGGAUCCGAGCGUUAUCCGGAUUUAUUGGGUUUAAAGGGUGCGCAGGCGGGAUGUCAAGUCAGUGGUGAAAUGGUGCGGCUCAACCGUAGCAUUGCCGUUGAAACUGGCGUCCUUGAGUGCGAAUGAGGUACGCGGAACGUGUCAUGUAGCGGUGAAAUGCAUAGAUAUGACACAGAACACCGAUUGCGAAGGCAGCGUACUGGGACGCGACUGACGCUGAGGCACGAAAGUGCGGGGAUCGAACAGGAUUAGAUACCCUGGUA